rnacentral:rRNA from 1 species
AAUGAACGCUGGCGGCGCGCCUAAUACAUGCAAGUCGAGCGAGAAGACGUAGCAAUACGUUUGUAAAGCGGCGAACGGGUGAGGAAUACAUGGGUAACCUACCCUAGAGUGGGGAAUAACUAGCCGAAAGGUUAGCUAAUACCGCGUACGCUCCUUGGACUUCGGUUCAGGGAGGAAAGCGAUGCCGAGGGUAUCGCGCUCUUGGAUGGGCUCAUGUCCUAUCAGCUUGNGGUGAGGUAACGGCUCACCAAGGCUUCGACGGGUAGCUGGUCUGAGAGGACGAUCAGCCACACUGGGCACUGCGACACGGGGCCAGACUCCUACGGGAGGCAGCAGUAAGGAAUAUUGCGCAAUGGGCGAAAGCCCGACGCAGCGACGCCGCGUGGGGGA